rnacentral:snRNA from 1 species
AAUAUCAUGCUAUUUAUUUUGUU